GAUGAACGCUCGCUACAGGCUUAACACAUGCAAGUCGAGGGGAAACGACAUCGAAAGCUUGCUUUUGAUGGGCGUCGACCGGCGCACGGGUGAGUAACGCGUAUCCAACCUGCCCAUCACUUGGGAAUAACCUUGCGAAAGUAAGACUAAUACCCAAUGAUAUCCCACGAAGGCAUCGGAAUGGGAUUAAAGAUUUAUCGGUGAUGGAUGGGGAUGCGUCUGAUUAGCUUGUUGGCGGGGUAACGGCCCACCAAGGCAACGAUCAGUAGGGGUUCUGAGAGGAAGGUCCCCCACAUUGGAACUGAGACACGGUCCAAACUCCUACGGGAGGCAGCAGUGAGGAAUAUUGGUCAAUGGGCGAGAGCCUGAACCAGCCAAGUAGCGUGCAGGAAGACGGCCCUAUGGGUGGUAAACUGCUUUUAUAAGGGAAUAAAGUGGGUCACGUGUGACUUUUUGCAUGUACCUUAUGAAUAAGGACCGGCUAAUUCCGUG
rnacentral:rRNA from 1 species